rnacentral:lncRNA from 1 species
AAGAGUAUUUAGUUGGUACCUAACAGGUUCUAUAACCUUUAUGAUCGACUAUCUCCAAAUAAGAUCAAGCUUUCCGUUAGAAACACAAAACGAGAGACCAAAUCUACCGGUCAAUUCUUGUUUUUCUUUUAAUUACCUAAUUCAGCUUUGCAAAAUAAUUACUACAGAUCCUCAACACAUAUCCAUGGGUACAUCAAUAUUUUUUGUUAUAGAGAGAGAGAGAGAGAGAGAGAGAGAGAGAGAGAAGAACAUCCGUAACAAACAAAAAAAAAACUACAAGAAAACAUUGAACAAUAGUUUCUGCGACUUUAUCUUCAUAUCGGUACGUAGCUUUACUCUUCAUCAAAUUUGUAAACUGAUUUUGAAAAUCGACAUUGAAUGUAUUAUAUGUAUCUAUGCAGAUGAAUGUGUAUGUUUAUGCCUGUUUAUGUAUUCCAUGUAUAUCAUACAUGUACUCGAUUCUUUAUCUUUUUUCUUUUGAUAUAACUCGAAUUAUAUAUCGGUUUGUUGUGUUCCUUCGUUGAAAUAGUCAUGACACGUUCGUUUAGAACGUUUUCUCUUACUGUGAUUGAUGAGAUAUAUUGGGAGAUAAAUCCAGUAUCUAAAUUAUAAAUGAUAUAUCUAGCUAUGUAUAUAAAAAAAGAUCUUCAUGAAUAUACAGUCUAAUUAUCUAAAUAUGGGAUUUCCGAUUAAAAAGCAUUCUUUUUUGUAAAUUUGCGCGAAUGAAUUUCUGUUAUAGAGUUUAUUUAGUUUUGAUGCUGUGAUGUGAACCGAAAGGUCAAAGAGAGAAGAAGGUUAGGUCGGAGCAGAAAGAAUACUCUCUCAGUCGAACUUAUGGCUGUCAAAAAAAAAAGGGUUUAAAGUCAACUAUCUAAAGUAAACGUCAAUCAAUCUAACGGCUCAAAUUAUAUCAGAUAAAUCCGUGCGUUAUUAUAUUUAAGCUUGGUCUAUAAUCUAGACUCUAACACCACUUAAGCCCACCAUUAAUUGUUUGGGCCAAUCUUUGGUUUAACAGCGGCGUUUUCAUGUGGCUUAACUGUGGAGAUGUGUAAAGGUUCAACGCCAAAACGGCAUGGUGUUCUUUUGUGAUAACAGAAUUAUUGAGGGACGGAGAACGCACGGACCUUUCAUCAAUGAGAUUAUGUAUGAUGAGUAACUAGUGAGUACACAGUACACUGAGUACUGAGUAGUGACUUAUACGUAAGAUGCCUGUUUUUAACAGUGAAUCUGCACGAUAAAAUGGAUGCAUAAACUGAUACACAUUUUAGUAACAUAAAUUAUAUUGUCAAUGGUGCAAACAGACUUAUAUGUGAAAUACUUGACAAACUUUGAGUAUCCAACUUUACUAUAUAUGCAUAUGUUAACUAAUUCAUCUUUACAUGCAUGUACAUUCGCUGAUUCAUCUAUACAUGGAUGUACAUGCUUGUGACUGAAAUACUUGAAAAAGCAGGAUUAAGCAAGAAACUUUACAAAACUUGAAAAGGGAGCUGAUCCUUCAGUAUGUAAGUAAACUUUUCCGAAUGCGCUAAUAGCUUUUUAAUGUUAAGGUACAAUCUUUAUUGUUUUUAAAUUUCGUGCAUUACAAAUUUAACGGACUGCAAUUGUUUGAUAGAAAUUAUCCAAAUAACUAUAUUUCAUAUCUCGUAACAUUGUUUAAGAUAGUAAGCAUUGUUUUCACCUUUUGUACUGGAUUAAAAAUUAAACACAUUCUUAUUAAUUUCCACAGUUCCAUAAUAUUAUAUAUAUACCCACACGAUGAUGUAAUAUAUAUAAUAAACUAAAUAAGAUUAUUGUUUGUAAGAACUUAAGACCAUGAACAUUGCUGUCUCUUACAGCAUUUCUUAAAAAUAAAUAUUAUUAUUUUAAUCGAGAAGACGUCGCUUAUAUUAUAAUGCAUAAGAGACGUUUUUAAAACAGGUGGAUGCAUAUGAUUGGUUCUUCAAUAUGGAGAAAAAAAAAUAUUUUUUCCUUCCUCAUCUUUUCCCUGACAUAUGUUUCAUCAUUAUUCUUUCCAUUUUAAUAAAAAAUAUUAAAAAAAAUAUUAUAAGACCCAAUUGAGUUUUAACAAUGUUCAUGCUCUAAGUAGAAAGCUUUGUAACUAAUUCAUUCAUUCGAAUGAGGCAUGAAAAAGAAACAUGAUACAAGAGAUAUACCAUAUAUAAAGGUUUAUGUGAUCAAUUACACAUAAAAGAGUUAUAUUGUAAUCACACAGAUCACCACAAAACAACUUAGCACACAUAUAUUUAUAUACCCAACCUUGAAAUCACAUGAAUACACUUCUCGAAUUAUGGUAGAUAUAUAUGUUGAAGAGACAUCACGAUCAACCAAAUUACAUAUCUUCAGGUCUCUGGUCAUGUACUGAGCUCGACGACGUUCCAACGAUCUCAUCGGUACAAUUGUGCGUCUGAAACGGCUGGGAUAUUGGAAUAUUACUAUCAAAAGGAUCAUCAUUUAUAAGGGAAUUCAGAAAGGAAGAGAACUUGUCAUCG